rnacentral:rRNA from 1 species
GACGAACGCUGGCGGCGUGCUUAACACAUGCAAGUCGAGCGGUAAGGCCCUUUCGGGGGUACACGAGCGGCGAACGGGUGAGUAACACGUGGGUGACCUGCCCUCAGCUCUGGGAUAAGCCUGGGAAACCGGGUCUAAUACUGGAUAUGACUCCAUGACGCAUGUUGUGGGGUGGAAAGCCUUGUGCGGCUGAGGAUGGGCCCGCGGCCUAUCAGCUUGUUGGUGGGGNGAUGGCCUACCAAGGCGACGACGGGUAGCCGGCCUGAGAGGGCGACCGGCCACACUGGGACUGAGACACGGCCCAGACUCCUACGGGAGGCAGCAGUGGGGAAUCUUGCGCAAUGGGCGAAAGCCUGACGCAGCGACGCCGCGUGAGGGAUG